GACGAACGCUGGCGGCGUGCUUAACACAUGCCAGUCGAACGGAAAGGCCCUGCUUUUGUGGGGUGCUCGAGUGGCGAACGGGUGAGUAACACGUGAGUAACCUGCCCUUGACUUUGGGAUAACUUCAGGAAACUGGGGCUAAUAACAGAUAGGAGCUCCUGCUGCAUGGGGGGGGUUGGAAAGUUUCGGCGGUUGGGGAUGGACUCGCGGCUUAUCAGCUUGUUGGGGGGGUAGUGGCUUACCAAGGCUUUGACGGGUAGGCGGCAUGAGAGGGUGACCGGCCACAUUGGGCCUGAGAUACGGCCCAGACUCCUACCGUAGGCAGCAAUGGGGAACAUUGCACAGUGGGCGGAAGCCUGAUGCGGCAACGCCGCGUGCGGGAUGACGGCCUUCGGGUUGUAAACCGCUUUCGCCUGUGACGAAGCGUGAGUGACGGUAAUGGGUAAAGAAGCACCGGCUAACUACGUG
rnacentral:rRNA from 1 species